AAUGACUUGUAUUAGUCAGGCUUCUCUAAAGGGACACAGCUAAUAGAACAGAUGUAUAUAUGAAGGGGAGUUUAUUAAGGAGUAUUGACUCACACGAUCAUAAGGUGAAGUCCGACACUAGGCUGUCUGCAAGCUGAAGAGCAAGGAAGCCAGUCCGAGUCCCAAAACCUCAAAAGUAGGGAAACAGAGAGUGCAGCUUUCUGUCUGUGGCCAAAGACCCAAGAGCCCCUGCAAACCACUGGUGUAAGUCCAAGAUUCCAAAAGCUGAAGAACUUGGAGUCCAGUGUUCGAGGGCAGGAGGCAUCCAGUACAGAAGAAUGAUGAAGACCAGAAAACUCAGCGAGUUUGCUCAUUCCACUUUCUUCUUCCUGCUUUUUUCUAGCCAUGCUGGCAGCUGAUUAGAUGAUGCCAACACAGACUGAGGGUGAGUCUGUCUCUCCCAGUCCACUGACUCAAAUGUUAGUCUCCUUUGGCAACACCCUUACAAACACACCCGGAAACAAUGCUUUGCAUCCUUCAAUCCCAUCAAGUUGACACUCAGUAUUAACCAUCACACUUGGUGAUGCAUAAGAAUCCUUCUAGCUGUCAUUCUGAGAUAGAAAAGUAUAUGUGCCUGUUGACUGAAGAAGACUCACAACCUAGAUUGCUGGUAAUACGUGCCAUAUAGAAGAUUCAUCCUUCUUAACUUCUUAAAAGCAUAAAUAAGAAACAAGACAGAAAUUUGAAUGAAAAGUAAAGGAAUGGCGCUGCGGGUGAGAAUGAGAAUGAGAGCAAGGAGCCGUGAGCAAGCUGCUGUUGGAACAGCAGGUAGGAAGGACACUCCUGUGCAGGCGGUUGGAAGAGUUCCCACUCCUGCAGGAUGUGGUAUCAGGAAUCAGACAUGGAGUCUCAUUCUGCCACCCAGGCUGGAGUGCAGCGAGGCACGAUCAUAGCUCACCGCAGCCUCCAAGUGCUGGACUCAAGCGAUCCUCGCAUUUCUGCCUCCCAAGUAGUUGGAACCACAGGCCACCAUGUUCAGCUACUUUUUACGUUUUUUGUAGAGAUGGAUUCUUGCUUUGUUGCCCAGGCUGUUCUUGAACUGCUAGCUUCAAGAGAUCCUCCCACUUUGACCUCCCAAAAUGCUGGAAGUACAGUUGUGAACUACCACACCCUGCCAAAAGAUAGAUCUAUUUAGGAUAUCUGAAAAUAAAUACAAGGUGAAGGAAGCCCUGGUUAUAUGUUUGAGUGUUCCAGAAAAUGGCUUUUAUGAUGGGUUUCAAUAUUCAAGUCAUUUAUUUGAAGGGAGAAGAUAAUUUAUGAAAGAUAAAAGAAAGAGAGAAAGAGCGAGAGAAAGAGAGAAGGCAUAGGUGCAGAGGCCCCAGACUCUACUGCAGCUGUAACACCUGCAAAGAGAGAAAGGAAAGGACUUAGGAUCGGGCUGGCAGAGCCUCAGCCUACGGUGCAACUAGGAGAGCAGUGACCAGGAUAAGAGGGGGCAGGAAUGACAGGACACUCGUAAGCCUGCCAGGCCCGUCAUGGGCUGAGAGAUACCUGGGCAAAGCCUGGUUUCAGCAUAAAGGCUGUGAUCAUUCCUGUCGUCGUUUGUUUUGGUGACUAUAACAAAAAGGCAUAAACUAAGUGGCUUAUAAACAACAGAAAUUUAUUGCUCACAGUGCUAGAGGCUGGGAUGUCCAAAAUGAAAGCACCAACAGAUUCUGUUUUCUGGUGAGGGCCCACUUUCUAGGUCAAAGAUAGUGCCUUCUAGCUGUGUCCUCACAGGACAGAAGGGGUCUCUUUCAUAACAGCACAACUUCCACUGAAAGCCAGCCUGACUCAAUCACUUCCCCAGAGUUCCCACCUCUGAAUACUAUCACAUUGGGGAUCAGGUUUCAAGCUAUGCAUUUGCAGGGGACACUAAGAUUGAGGCCAGAGCAAUUCGAUAAGGUACUGCAGUGGAAGGCCCUCAGCAAAAUGUGCUCCUCACAUGAGAGUCUCCGGGGUGGAGAGAGGAGUAACUUUCUCCCAUGACUACCACCAACCAGGUCAAUAGGAUCUGUGCUGUUAACCUUCUUAAGGGAUGACCUGGUCAUCUUAGGGUCUUUCAUGAAAUACCAAAUUCUCCAAUGCCAAGCAGGCUGCAUGGUUCAGACGGCAAGCCCUGUGGAUAAGUGACAGUGGUGCUUAUCUACACAUUCAAAACUUCAUUCUUGAAUUGAAGGGAAUUCCACGGACCUGUUGGGAUGUCCUGCAUCUAAGUAUCCCCACAGAAUUUUAUCCUCAGAGCUUAUUUUUAAUAUUAUAAUUCCUGUGACAUUUUCACCAAUUGUUUCACUGACCUGGUUUGAAAUCCCUUGAGUAGUUGUAUGUGAUAUAAACAUGUCAUGUUGGAAAACAGAAAUAAGAACUACAAUGGAAAAGCUUUAAGGAUACUUAAAUUCAGAGUGUAGAGUUCCCUGAAGAUUGAAAAAAUUAAAAAAAAAAAAAAGAAAAGAAAAGAAAGAAAUGCGAAGUUCAAUUGUUUUGAAAUACGUGUGGAGUGGCUGCUGUAAGCCUUGGUGGUAGUAAUUGUGUACUUUUGUGCUUCUUCAGUUUAACUGUUAUGUCACCUCAGUUAAAAAUGAUAGACAUUUUGAAUUCCAAGCUCUAUUUUUGCCCCUUAUUCUAUACUGUGUAAGAAAAUUUCUCUUUCCCCAUGAUAUAUUUUCUAUUCAAAGUGAGUGAUGCCAUUCAAAUGGCCAACCAAAUUUUCUUCUUAGGGAAAUAAAAUCAGGGGAGGGCACCUCAUUUUGCAUGACAGUUCCCAGGUGCUGCCUUUAGGGCUGGCACACACACGACACGUGCAGGAAGCUGGUUCUGGUUAGCACCCACUCGCAGUGGGGAUAAUUGGCACAUUUGCUUGGCACACACCUCUGCUCCCCACUCCAAACAGAAUCCUGCUCGUCACUGCUGGGUUCCUGCACAUUUUUGGAUUGCUCUGACCCUGAUGAAAGGAAAAGUUGCUAACAGAUAUGAGUGAACAGGUUUGUAUAAAAGAAUGCCUGUGAGCCAGCUGGCCCUGUGUUUGUUCACUGCAACAGGGUCAGGAACUUUGCAUGGUCUUAAUAAAUAGAAUCAACUGACUUCAUAUGUGUUUUGGCACUAACCUGGGGCCUAUGGCAUCAUUUCCUGGGGUUUAGUACAAUAUUAAUAAAAAGGACUAUUCCAGAUUAGGCACAAAUCAAUGCUAUAUUAUAAAACCAUUUUAAUUUUUGGCUAAAAAAGCAGAUGAAAUGGGGUUACUGCAGUUUAUCACAUUGCCUUGAAUAUCUGUAUAACAAGGUUGAGAUUUGCUUUAUUUUUAAAGUCCUUACUGGUUUAUGCUUAUUACUUAAAAGAACUAUUUUUUUUCUAGAUGUAUGAAGUAAAAUAUGGUACAUGCCCACAGGUUUAGCAUUUGGCUUUGAAGCACACUGAAUUUAUUAUAUUUGUUUGUGCAGCUUCUCUUAAUCUAUUGUGACAACAAAUUAGACUCUGAUUUAAAUUAAAGCAAAUCGCAAAAUAA
rnacentral:lncRNA from 10 species